GGGUGUGAGGACCAGCUGGCUAUGACGUCAGUCACUUCACUGAUUGCCAGGUUUGAUCUGGCUGGUUGGAUCGCAUCCUCUUCCUCCCCCUACACCAUGUACAUCUCUGCCUGUCCCCAAGAUGUGACAUCAGACAAAGCAAUCUUCUCAAUAGAAGAGCUCUAUUCUUGGUAAAGGGUACACGAGGAGGUAUGUUUCCCCACUGCAGCACAGCAGAACCCAGCCCCUUUCACCACGUAACAGGGUGACUCUCUAAGCUGUGGGGCACAGCAAGAGGCUGUUCAUUCCUCCAU
rnacentral:snRNA from 1 species